UAGAGUUUGAUCCUGGCUCAGAUUGAACGCUGGCGGCAGGCCUAACACAUGCAAGUCGAGCGGUAGCACAGAGAGCUUGCUCUCGGGUGACGAGCGGCAGACGGGUGAGUAAUGUCUGGGAAACUGCCUGAUGGAGGGGGAUAACUACUGGAAACGGUAGCUAAUACCGCAUAACGUCGCAAGACCAAAGUGGGGGACCUUCGGGCCUCAUGCCAUCAGAUGUGCCCAGAUGGGAUUAGCUGGUAGGUGGGGUAACGGCUCACCUAGGCGACGAUCCCUAGCUGGUCUGAGAGGAUGACCAGCCACACUGGAACUGAGACACGGUCCAGACUCCUACGGGAGGCAGCAGUGGGGAAUAUUGCACAAUGGGCGCAAGCCUGAUGCAGCCAUGCCGCGUGUGUGAAGAAGGCCUUCGGGUUGUAAAGCACUUUCAGCGGGGAGGAAGGCGGUGAGGUUAAUAACCUCACCGAUUGACGUUACCCGCAGAAGAAGCACCGGCUAACUCCGUGCCAGCAGCCGCGGUAAUACGGAGGGUGCAAGCGUUAAUCGGAAUUACUGGGCGUAAAGCGCACGCAGGCGGUCUGUCAAGUCGGAUGUGAAAUCCCCGGGCUCAACCUGGGAACUGCAUUCGAAACUGGCAGGCUAGAGUCUUGUAGAGGGGGGUAGAAUUCCAGGUGUAGCGGUGAAAUGCGUAGAGAUCUGGAGGAAUACCGAUGGCGAAGGCGGCCCCCUGGACAAAGACUGACGCUCAGGUGCGAAAGCGUGGGGAGCAAACAGGAUUAGAUACCCCUGGUAGUCCACGCUGUAAACGAUGUCGAUUUGGAGGUUGUGCCCUUGAGGCGUGGCUUCCGGAGCUAACGCGUUAAAUCGACCGCCUGGGGAGUACGGCCGCAAGGUUAAAACUCAAAUGAAUUGACGGGGGCCCGCACAAGCGGUGGAGCAUGUGGUUUAAUUCGAUGCAACGCGAAGAACCUUACCUGGUCUUGACAUCCACAGAACUUAGCAGAGAUGCUUUGGUGCCUUCGGGAACUGUGAGACAGGUGCUGCAUGGCUGUCGUCAGCUCGUGUUGUGAAAUGUUGGGUUAAGUCCCGCAACGAGCGCAACCCUUAUCCUUUGUUGCCAGCGGUUAGGCCGGGAACUCAAAGGAGACUGCCAGUGAUAAACUGGAGGAAGGUGGGGAUGACGUCAAGUCAUCAUGGCCCUUACGACCAGGGCUACACACGUGCUACAAUGGCAUAUACAAAGAGAAGCGACCUCGCGAGAGCAAGCGGACCUCAUAAAGUAUGUCGUAGUCCGGAUUGGAGUCUGCAACUCGACUCCAUGAAGUCGGAAUCGCUAGUAAUCGUAGAUCAGAAUGCUACGGUGAAUACGUUCCCGGGCCUUGUACACACCGCCCGUCACACCAUGGGAGUGAGUUGCAAAAGAAGUAGGUAGCUUAACCUUCGGGAGGGCGCUUACCACUUUGUGAUUCAUGACUGGGGUGAAGUCGUAACAAGGUAACCG
rnacentral:rRNA from 1 species